CUAAAAUAGUAAAUAAAUAUUUAUUAAAACUUAAAUAAUUUGGCGGUAUUUUAGUUCAUUUAGAGGAAUCUGUUUAAUAAUUGAUAUUCCACGAAUAAAUUUACUUAAUUUAUAAUUUUGUAUAUCGUUGUUAUAAAAAUAUUUUUUAAUAAAAUUAAUAUUUAAAAAUUAAUAUUAUAAAUUAAAUCAGAUCAAGAUGUAGAUUAUAAUUAAGAAUAUAAUGGAUUACAAUAAAUUUAUUUAAAUGGAUUUUAAUUUGUAAUAUUUAAUUGAAGGUGGAUUUAAAUGUAAUUUUAUUUAAUUUAAUA
rnacentral:rRNA from 1 species